ACAGGCCGGGCCCUGGCUCCCCGCCGCUUCCCAAGAACUAACCGUCCCAGGUGUCCCCUAUUACGCGGCCGCCAGGGCCUCCCUUCCACCCGCGGAGAAUUGCCGAAGAGCCCGAGGCCCGGGCUGCUCGCGGCGGUCGGGGCCCACCUGUCUCGGCCCCGCCCCUUCCCGGGCGUCCCAGGUGGCUCGGGGCGGGGAGGAGCCGCACCAACGCCAGCCCGCCGCCAGUGAGCUGCUAGCCGGGACCGGGAGCCGGGAGCAGGGAGCCGGUCGGACGCGCGGACAGGCCCGGCGAGCGCGGCGGCGCUGUGGCAAUGGCAUGCUCCCUCACAGCACAAGGUGUUCUCAAGGGAAGCACUCCCUGUCAUGAUAUCGGAUACAACGCCUCAACCUGAUAAACCAGGACAUUCACAGAGGCUUUCAGGAUAAAGUAUCUAUAUCAAAUGGCUUCCAGGAUGGUCAGCCCCACAGGUUCCACCCUCUAGCAGCAGACCUGCCAGUAAGGAAAUCUUCAGGAGAGAUGCUCGGAACCUGGAACAUCACCACCAACACGUUCUCUUUGAGAAGGGGGAGGUGUGGGCCAGCAGAAAAAUGUCUCUUCUUAACAUCACGCAAGCAGGACAGGACAGGAGCUGGGAAUGCUGCAGCCAGGAGGACCCCAUCCAGAUCGUUACAAACAGCUCCCCCAGAUCAUUUGAUCUUAGGGAAGAAAAGGGAAUCAAACCCUGUGCCCCUGACGGGAAAUGACAGGAUGAACAUUUUCCUGGCUAAAAGUUUGAAAUAUACACCUUUGCCACACACAAAAUUUUCACCCAUUAUUUCUUUCCUUAUACUUUCCUCAUUUAAAAUGUACAAUUUCAUAGAAUAAUCCAAUUUAUACACCCUAAAUGCAUGAAACCCAUUUUUUCAGUUAUUCAGUCAGUAUUUAUGGAGCACCUAACACGUGCCAGGCAUCGUUUCGUUCACUGCCAAGGCUUCAGUCCCUAAAACAAAGUUGCUGCUCUCAGAGUUCUGACUUCCCAAUGCUUUGCUAAUGGUUUCCUGCAUGAGCCCUCACAAAGAACACCUUCAUUUUUUAAGAUAACAUUUUUUGAGGGUUUAUGCGUGUCAGGCACUGAACACCAUUAAUUCAUUUAAUUCUCACAGCACCCCUGUGAGGUGGUAUGAUUUCUAUCCCCUCUUUACAGAUGAAGAAUUUGAAAUUUAAAGACAGGAUAAGUAACUUACCCAAGGCUACAAAGCUAGUAAAUCACAGAUCGGAUUAAAAUGUAGGUCCAGUUCCAAACUCCUCCAUCUUAAUCCCUACACUAAACUGCCUUCAAAACUUCUUAAAUAUAGUUGCUAUGAUGGACAUAUUUGGUUUAG